rnacentral:rRNA from 2 species
UUCCGGUUGAUCCUGCCGGACCUGACUGCUAUCGGAUUGAUACUAAGCCAUGCGAGUCAUUGUAGCAAUACAAGGCAGACGGCUCAGUAACGCGUAGUCAAUCUACCCUAUGGACGGGAAUAAUCUCGGGAAACUGAGAAUAAUGCCCGAUAGAACAUUAUGCCUGGAAUGGUUUAUGUUUCAAAUGAUCUAUCGCCAUAGGAUGGGACUGCGGCCUAUCAGUUUGUUGGUGAGGUAAUGGCCCACCAAGACUAUUACAGGUACGGGCUCUGAGAGGAGUAGCCCGGAGAUGGGUACUGAGACACGGACCCAGGCCCUAUGGGGCGCAGCAGGCGAGAAAACUUUGCAAUGUGCGAAAGCACGACAAGGUUAAUCCGAGUGGUUUCUGCUAAAGAAACCUUUUGUCAGUCCUAGAAACACUAACGAAUAAGGGGUGGGCAAGUUCUGGUGUCAGCCGCCGCGGUAAAACCAGCACCUCAAGUGGUCAGGAUGAUUAUUGGGCCUAAAGCAUCCGUAGCCCGUUUUGUAAGUUUUCGGUUAAAUCCAUGCGCUUAACGUAUGGGCUGCCGGGAAUACUGCAUAACUAGGAAGUGGGAGAGGUAGACGGUACUCGGUAGGAAGGGGUAAAAUCCUUUGAUCUAUUGAUGACCACCUGUGGCGAAGGCGGUCUACCAGAACACGUUCGACGGUGAGGGAUGAAAGCUGGGGGAGCAAACCGGAUUAGAUACCCGGGUAGUCCCAGCUGUAAACUAUGCAAACUCAGUGAUGCAUUGGCUUGUGGCCAAUGCAGUGCUGCAGGGAAGCCGUUAAGUUUGCCGCCUGGGAAGUACGUACGCAAGUAUGAAACUUAAAGGAAUUGGCGGGGGAGCACCACAA